rnacentral:rRNA from 1 species
GUAGCCAAGCAGGUAAAAGGCUGGGGACUCGCGAGAGACUGCCCGGGAUAACCGGGAGGAAGGUGGGGGAUGACGUCAAAUCAUCAUGCCCCCUUAUGAUUUGGGCAACACACGUGCUACAAUGGCGUAAACAAAGGGAGGCGAAGGAGCGAUCCGGAGCGAAUCCCAAAAAUAACGUCUCAGUUCGGACUGAAGGCUGCAACCCGCCUUCACGAAGCUGGAAUCGCUAGUAAUCGCGGAUCAGAACGCCGCGGUGAAUACGUUCCCGGGUCUUGUACACACCGCCCGUCACACCAUGAGAGUCUGCAACACCCGAAGUCAGUGACCCAACCGCAAGGGGGGAGCUGCCGAAGGUGGGGCCGAUAACUGGGGUGAAGUCGUAACAAGGUAGCCGUAUCGGAAGGUGCGGCUGGAUCACCUCCUU